CAGACGGGUGGCAGCAGUGAGGAAUAUUGGUCAAUGGCCGGGAGUCUGAACCAGCCAAGUCGCGUGAGGGAAGACUGCCCUAUGGGUUGUAAACCUCUUUUGUCAGGGAGUAAGGUUCAGGUCGUGUCCUGCUUUGUGAGUACCUUAUGAAUAAGCAUCGGCUAACUCCGUGCCAGCAGCCGCGGUAAUACGGAGGAUCCGAGCGUUAUCCGGAUUUAUUGGGUUUAAAGGGAGCGUAGGUGGGUGGUUAAGUCAGUUGUGAAAGUUUGCGGCUCAACCGUAAAAUUGCAGUUGAUACUGGAUGCCUUGAGUGCAGUGGAGGUAGGCGGAAUUCGUGGUGUAGCGGUGAAAUGCUUAGAUAUCACGAAGAACUCCGAUUGCGAAGGCAGCUUACUAAACUGCAACUGACGUGGAUGCUCGAAAGUGUGGGUAUCAAACAGGAUUAGAUACCCUAGUAGUC
rnacentral:rRNA from 1 species